AUUGAACGCUGGCGGCAUGCCUUACACAUGCAAGUCGAACGGUAACAGGUCUUCGGAUGCUGACGAGUGGCGAACGGGUGAGUAAUACAUCGGAACGUGCCCGAUCGUGGGGGAUAACGGAGCGAAAGCUUUGCUAAUACCGCAUAAGAUCUACGGAUGAAAGCAGGGGACCGCAAGGCCUUGCGCGAACGGAGCGGCCGAUGGCAGAUUAGGUAGUUGGUGGGAUAAAAGCUUACCAAGCCGACGAUCUGUAGCUGGUCUGAGAGGACGACCAGCCACACUGGGACUGAGACACGGCCCAGACUCCUACGGGAGGCAGCAGUGGGGAAUUUUGGACAAUGGGCGCAAGCCUGAUCCAGCCAUGCCGCGUGCAGGAUGAAGGCCUUCGGGUUGUAAACUGCUUUUGUACGGAACGAAAAGACUCUUUCUAAUAAAGAGGGUCCAUGACGGUACCGUAAGAAUAAGCACCGGCUAACUACGUGCCAGCCGCCGCCGUAACAC
rnacentral:rRNA from 1 species